CCACAUCUUUCUCACCCAUGACAAGGAUCAAGAGGCCAAGGAUCAGGUGGUGAGGGCAGAACCAACAGACCAGACAGCUCUCCCACAGCCAGCCUCUGAACCUGCUCUACAGUCUGAAUAGCCCGGGUGAAGUUAAACUCUCCUUCGCUGGUGCACCAGAUGGCUGAGAACAGGAUAGGCUGAUGCCCUGGAAGCUAAGAGGGAGGCGGCAAAGGAGUUCGCAGGCGAGACUGCUGAUUGCAGAGGAGCUGAAACCCACAGAGGACACGGGUCUCAAUGAACACAAGGUUUAUUAUUUUUCUACAUGCCUUGUGCCGGGCCUGUAAAACAUAAGCUGGCUUGCCAACCGCCAAUAAAAGAAUAGCAGAAGCAGAAAGCUUUUGCCGUGGAAGAUACCGUUGCUAAGGCUCGGCCAGGAAGGUCAUGACGGGAAAUCCAGAGACCUGGAACGUGAACGUCCAGAAAAGCAGGAGAAUGGAGGGCCUGGAUUGAAGGACGCAAGAUAAAUGUGGACACCAUGCCAGUCUGCAGCCUGCCAAUGGUUCACUAAACUCUACUGCAGAAGACACAUCAUAAGAACAAGAUUGCUAAGUAUUUCUGGGGGAAUUAUGACUGAAGAAAUGGUUGUGAAGUCUGUGGUGAAGGGGAGCAGAGGGAUCCAGGAGGUCAGCAUCCAUUAUUUGUCACCUUGUAGUAGACUGGAGAAGAAUCUGUGUACCAACGCUUGUUCCUGUCAACAUUGGGCAUAAAGCAGUGGUGGUUUUUGAAGAGGAGAAAGUCAGAAGACUGAGGAACAGAAGGAAAAGAAAGACCAGCACGAUGCCUGCUGUUCAUUCAAGCCUGGAAACAUCGGAGGACAAAGAAGAUGCAGGUGAGAAGACCUCAGUGGCGCUCACUCCAAUUCCAGGCCAUACCGUGAGGUUCGUAACUUAAAGGACUUCAGCCAGAUGGGGAACUGGGGAAAAAGCUGGGAUCCAACGUUGCAUGACCUCCAAUCAGAUAUAACGUGGAUGGCACCGCUGAGAUGACUGGGAAGUCUAUCUGUCCCCACAGCAGCCCCACUGUGCACAGCCAGCCAGUUAAAGAGCUGAAGGUCAAACAGCCCCAAGAACUGAAGGUUUUGCCCCAGAACUUCCACUCAUCCUACGAUGGACUGGACCACGAGUGAUGCCCGUCAGCAGCUGGAGCCUCACGCACACUGAUGUACAUAAGCUAUAUUGGUUACACUUCAUUAAAAUCAGCGUAAUUAUACUUUUU